CGCCGGCGAGUGGCGAACGGGUGAGUAAUGCAUCGGAACGUACCCAGUAGUGGGGGAUAACUUACCGAAAGGUAAGCUAAUACCGCAUACGCACUGAGGUGGAAAGCAGGGGACCGCAAGGCCUUGCGCUAUUGGAGCGGCCGAUGUCGGAUUAGCUAGUUGGUGGGGUAAAGGCCUACCAAGGCGACGAUCCGUAGCGGGUCUGAGAGGAUGAUCCGCCACACUGGAACUGAGACACGGUCCAGACUCCUACGGGAGGCAGCAGUGGGGAAUUUUGGACAAUGGGCGCAAGCCUGAUCCAGCCAUGCCGCGUGAGUGAAGAAGGCCUUCGGGUUGUAAAGCUCUUUCGGCCGGGAAGAAAUCGUGGUGGCUAAUACCUGCCAUGGAUGACGGUACCGGACUAAGAAGCACCGGCUAACUACGUGCCAGCAGCCGCGGUAAUACGUAGGGUGCGAGCGUUAAUCGGAAUUACUGGGCGUAAAGCGUGCGCAGGCGGUUGUGUAAGACAGGCGUGAAAUCCCCGGGCUCAACCUGGGAACUGCGCUUGUGACUGCAAGGCUAGAGUACGGCAGAGGGGGGUGGAAUUCCACGUGUAGCAGUGAAAUGCGUAGAGAUGUGGAGGAACACCGAUGGCGAAGGCAGCCCCCUGGGCCGAUACUGACGCUCAUGCACGAAAGCGUGGGGAGCAAACAGGAUUAGAUACCCUGGUAGUCCACGCCCUAAACGGUGUCGACUAGUUGUUGGAGGGGUAAAACCCUUUAGUAACGUAGCUAACGCGUGAAGUCGACCGCCUGGGGAGU
rnacentral:rRNA from 1 species